AGUGAACGCUGGCGGUAGGCCUAACACAUGCAAGUCGAACGGCAGCACAGUAAGAGCUUGCUCUUACGGGUGGCGAGUGGCGGACGGGUGAGGAAUACAUCGGAAUCUACUUUUUCGGGGGGGAUAACGUAGGGAAACUUACGCUAAUACCGCAUAUGACCUACGGGUGAAAGCAGUGGAUCUUCGGACCUUGCGCGAUUGAAUGAGCCGAUGUCGGAUUAGCUAGUUGGCGGGGUAAAGGCCCACCAAGGCGACGAUCCGUAGCUGGUCUGAGAGGAUGAUCGGCCACACUGGAACUGAGACACGGUCCAGACUCCUACGGGAGGCAGCAGUGGGGAAUAUUGGACAAUGGGCGCAAGCCUGAUCCAGCCAUACCGCGUGGGUGAAGAAGGCCUUCGGGUUGUAAAGCCCUUUUGUUGGGAAAGAAAAGCAGCAGGUUAAUACCCCGCUGUUCUGACGGUACCCAAAGAAUAAGCACCGGCUAACUUCGUG
rnacentral:rRNA from 1 species